AAGUAAAGCAUAAAGUUUCGACUACUUCUUGGCACUUCAUCUGUAAAAAUACAAAACCGACAACAAGGUCCUAGAUAUUUGCUAAUUUUCAUUGCAAUAACAAUUCAGUACCAUUUAGAAUAAAUUUUGCUACUUGCGUAUUUAUAGUGUCUCUGGAAGGACCUGCAGUAGUCGGUCAAUGCCUCUGGGCGGCGUUUGGAAUUGGGAUGGAAACUUCCUUUUAUUUUUAUUUUCAAAACCUGGUAGAGGAUUGAAGCCGGGGAGGGGCGCUGAGGUGAACUAAAUCCCCAGCUCUUUGUAUUAUUUUACUUUGAGACAUGGUCUCGCUAAGUAGCCCAGGCUGAGCUCCAGCUUGCCUCUGUAUUCUUGUCAGGCUCAGGAGGAACUGGUUUACAGGUUCACACCGCUCACGGCCUCGUAGACAUUUUUGGUGUUUUUGAGACAUGCUGUUACCCUCGUGUGGGGCCCCUGGAGGAUGUCGUAUAUCGCAGAAAACCCACUAGCCUGCCGGCCCUUGGAGAAGAACCUGAAAACGCAGGUGCAGCGAUCUUAGUGACCAAGGUUACCCACGCAGCAGUUCAUCAUACUAAUAAAUGUCUGGAAGUUAAAGGCCACCACUUUGACCAGCUCUUGUGGAGGCCAUAGGUAACUUGUGUUAAUCUCCUAUCUCAAUAAAUUUAGUACUUGUAUAAAAUAUUUAAA